ACAUUUUAAGCAACACAUGUACUAAAAUUAGAACAAUACAGAGAAGAUUAGCAUGGCCCCUAAGCAAGAACGACAUGCAAAUUUGUGAAACAUUCUAUAUUUUU